CCUACGGGAGGCAGCAGUAAGGAAUAUUGGUCAAUGGACGAAAGUCUGAACCAGCCAUGCCGCGUGAAGGAUGAAGGUCCUCUGGAUUGUAAACUUCUUUUAUUUGGGACGAAAAAAGGGUUAUCUAACUCACUUGACGGUACCAGAUGAAUAAGCACCGGCUAACUCCGUGCCAGCAGCCGCGGUAAUACGGAGGGUGCAAGCGUUAUCCGGAUUCACUGGGUUUAAAGGGUGCGUAGGCGGGUAGGUAAGUCAGCGGUGAAAUCCCCGAGCUUAACUUGGGAACUGCCGUUGAUACUAUUUAUCUUGAAUGUUGUGGAGGUUAGCGGAAUAUGUCAUGUAGCGGUGAAAUGCUUAGAUAUGACAUAGAACACCCAUUGCGAAGGCAGCUAACUACGCAAAUAUUGACGCUGAGGCACGAAAGCGUGGGGAUCAAACAGGAUUAGAUACCCUGGUAGUCCACGCCCUAAACGAUGAUUACUCGACAUUGGCGAUACACAGUCAGUGUCUGAGNGAAGACAUAAGUAAUACCACCGUACGGAAGGUAACGAGUCGUCGAAGAGUUAGUAAACGUUAACGAAAGGAAAGUUAGUUACGGCGUGAGACGUUAGCCGACGGACGACGACGAGGGGAGGUUAGGAG
rnacentral:rRNA from 1 species